GCUACAUCCCCAACACGUUUUCAUUUUUUGAGACAGGGUCUCCCUGAGUUGUCCAGGCUGGCCUUGAACUCGUGCUCCUCCUGGCUAACUGGGAUCACAGGCAUACACCGUAGCAUCUGGCUCAAUACCCUCCUUCCCACCACCGGGAAACUACUGUUCUCCACAGCUUUCUCCAACUGCCAGGAAUCUCAUCACUCCCAACGGUAUCUUUCUUGUGUCCUUUUCAGCAAGUGGAAGGGAGGCUUAGCAAAGUCUCAGCACCAGCUAUACUCUGAAGGCAGGGAAACCGUUUGCUUCUCUUUUUCCAACACUCAGCUUCGGUGUCUAAGCCACGGUCCAGUCCUUUGGAAGGAGCUGGGUAAUACGUUGUUAACUGGAAAACAAGCAAUCUUCACUUCCUGUCUCUUCAAGUCAGCAGUCCAGGGAUCAGGACCACAAACCUGUCUCUGGGACAGGCCCGAAGAGAUGGUGGCCUUUAGGUGGGCAGAGAAGAGAGCUGUCAGCGUCCAAGAAAGCCAAGGUCUGGGCAGCCUCCCAGAUGCCUAGGAGCUUUUCCUCUUGCAAUCCGUGCCCCAUGGGACACGUUCCUCCUCCUCAGGGUGGAUCAGACCGACUGACUCACCUCUAACACACUUUGGCCAGACCGAUGGCAUCAUGAAAGCCUACGAAGACACUCCAGGUCCAUCGCAGAGCUCCCUCCCCACGCGGCCUCUUAAAUCAUGUGUUCUCGGGGAAUUUAUCUACCCUGCCGUGAACAGCACCAUCAAAGGGUCACCUGGAAUGUAAACUAGUACAACCAUCGUGGGUGUUGGUAUGGGGAGGACUCGAAAAACUAAAAGCAGGUAUCUUCCCAAAAGAGUUAAAGUCACACAUUAUAGUAAUACAGGCAACCCAUGUAUAUAGCAGCAGAACCCAUAAUAGAUGAAUCUUGACAGUGGCCUAUGUGUCCAUCAGCAGACGAGUAGAUAAAGAAUAUGUGGUACUUAUACACAAUGGAGUUCUGCUCUGCCAUAAAGAAAGAUACACUUGAGUCAUUUAUACAAAAAUGGAUGGAUCUUCAGACCAUAAUGCUAGGUCUAAUAAACCAGACACAGAGGGUUAAAUAUCACAUGGUUUCCCUUACAUGACACUCAGAGUAUAAAUAAUUUAAAGAGAAAAAUAAAGAGAGAUGGUGGGAAAUAAGGCAGUAGACUGCGUGGAGAUGGGAAGAGGGUCUUGAGUAAGAGAAAAGGGGAGGCAGGGAGGGAGGGAUUGAAAUGAUCAAGACGCGACGUGUACAUGUACCAACUCCCCAGAUAAACGGCAUUGUUGUUUAUCACAAACGUGUGAAUCAAAAAGGAAAUGCCCGUGUGAUGCGCAACUCCAGACUUGCAGCAGGCAGACGCACUGUGAGGAGCUCGUGACUCAGUCGUGACCUGGGCCACUGUCCUGGGUGCUUCUGCCUCAGCCUCAGGAGAGAUGCCAAGCUAGAAGGACCCCACUGAGCCCCCAGAUUCCUGACCCACAGAGAUGCAGGUUCAUGCGAGCUUGUUGUUUUAAACCCCAGGAUCUGAGAUAAGUUCCUACGAAGUAUAGAUGUCUAAUACAUUAAAUUAGUUUUCAUGAUGGUUUUUCUCUUCCUGUAAGAUUAUUCAUUUCCUUUGUUGGCUAAUCUGCCUGUUCUAUGUCGCUUAGAUGGCUACUUAUUUUAGACACACAUUACAGGCAGGACAGAAUGCUUUACCCAGCCAGAAAGAAAUGUCAACACAUCAAAUUACAAUCUAGUUUCCUAUGUUAUUGGUAUGAGAAGAAUAAUAAAUUUGACUUGUUCAAGUAGAAAGAAAUGGCUAUAAUUCGUUUCUUAUUAAAGUUUUUUUUUAAACUUCUUACUAUUGUAUAGCCCAAUUUCUAUUGCUAUAACUAGUACUGGAUGCUGGUUACUUUAUAGAGAAGAAAGGCUUAUUUAGCUCCAGUUCGGGCUCCCAGACUGAAG
rnacentral:lncRNA from 1 species